rnacentral:rRNA from 1 species
CGGUAAUUCCAGCUCCAAUAGCGUAUACUAAAGUUGUUGCAGUUAAAAAGCUCGUAGUUGGAUUUCUGCGGGGACGGAGCGGCCGGACGCAACUUGCGUCUCGAGCUAGCGCUUUCCCCGCAUCCUGCCGCGAACCGUGCUACCAUUAGUUUGGUGGCGCUGGGGAUCGGCUCGAUUACUUUGAGAAAAAUAGAGUGUUCAAAGCAGGCCACACGCCUUGAAUAAGUUAGCAUGGAAUAAUGACUAAGGACUUCGGUUCUAUUUUGUUGGUGUUCGGGACUGAAGUAAUGAUUGAUAGGGACAGUUGGGGCGGUCUGUAUUCCAAAGCGAGAGGUGAAAUUCUUAGACCUUCGGAAGACAAACAGCUGCGAAAGCGUUCCGCAAGGAUGUUCCCUUUGAUCAAGAACGAAAGUUGGGGGAUCGAAGACGAUCAGAUACCGUCGUAGUCUCAACUAUAAACUAUACCAGCUAGGGAUCGGUCAACGUUUAAUUAUUCGACUUGAUCGGCACCUUAUGAGAAAUCAAAGCAUCUGGGUUCCGGGGGGAGUAUGGUCGCAAGGCUGAAACUUAAAGGAAUUGACGGAAGGGCACCACCAGCCGUGGAGCCUGUGGCUUAAUUUGACUCAACACGGGAAAACUUACCAGGUCCAGACAUAGUAAGGAUUGACAGAUUGAUAGCUCUUUCUUGAUUCUGUGGGUGGUGGUGCAUGGCCGUUCUUAGUUGGUGGAGUGAUUUGUCUGGUUAAUUCCGUUAACGAACGAGACCCCAGCCUGCUAAAUAGCGCGGCUGAGCUUUGCUCGGUGCGAGCUUCUUAGAGGGACUAUGAUGCGCGAUAGCACAUGGAAGUUUGGGGCAAUAACAGGUCUGUGAUGCCCUUAGAUGUUCUGGGCCGCACACGGGCUACACUGGCGCCUGCAACGAGCAUAUCAGCUGGCCCGAGAGGGUCUUGGCUAAUCUUUUGAACCGGCGCCGUGCUUGGGAUUGACCUUUGCAAUUGUUGGUCAUGCAACGAGGAAUGCCUUGUAAACGCGAGUCAUCAGCUCGCAUUGAAUACGUCCCUGCUCUUUGUACACACCGCCC